rnacentral:rRNA from 1 species
UACAGAGGGUGCGAGCGUUAAUCGGAAUUACUGGGCGUAAAGCGCGCGUAGGCGGCUUUGCAAGUCGGGCGUGAAAUCCCUAGGCUCAACCUAGGAACUGCACUCGAACUGCGUUUCUUGAGUGCCGGAGAGGAAAGCGGAAUUCCUGGUGUAGAGGUGAAAUUCGUAGAUAUCAGGAGGAACACCAGUGGCGAAGGCGGCUUUCUGGACUGCAUCUGACACUGAAAGACGAAAGCCAGGGGAGCAAACGGG